CAAUAGCGUAUAUUAAAGUUGUUGCAGUUAGAACGCUCGUAGUCGGAUUUCGGGGCAGUCCGACCGGUCUGCCGAUGGGUAUGCACUGGCCGGAGUGUCCUUUUUGCCGGAGACCGUGCCUACUCUUAACUGAGCGGGGGCGGGAGACGGCACUUUUACUUUGAAAAAAUCAGAGUGUUUCAAGCAGGCAGCUCGCUCUUGCAUGGAUUAGCAUGGGAUAAUGAAAUAGGACUUUGGUGCUAUUUUGUUGGUUUCGAACACCGAAGUAAUGAUGAGAAGGGACAGUCAGGGGCACUCGUAUUCCGCAGAGAGAGGUGAAAUUCCCAGACCCGCGGAAGACGAACCACUGCGAAAGCAUUUGCCAGGGAUGUUUUCACUGA
rnacentral:rRNA from 1 species